UCAAACUUGGUCAUUUAGAGGAAGUAAAAGUCGUAACAAGGUCUCCGUUGGUGAACCAGCGGAGGGAUCAUUAUCGAGUUUACAACUCCCAAAACCCAUGUGAACAUACCUUUUCUGUUGCUUCGGCGGUGACCAUCGGCCCUUCGCGGGACGUGGCCCGCCAGAGGACCCAACCAAACCCUUGAUUUUUAUCCCCAGUAUCUUAUCUGAGUAACCUCGUUCGAAUAGAAUGAAAAUCAAAACUUUCAACAACGGAUCUCUUGGCUCUGGCAUCGAUGAAGAACGCAGC
rnacentral:misc_RNA from 1 species